rnacentral:rRNA from 1 species
GAGGACCGGAGUGGACGAACCGCUAGUGUACCUGUUGUGUGGUCGCAUGCAUCGCAGGGUAGCUAUGUUCGGAAGUGAUAAGCCGCUGAACGCAUCUAAGCGCGAAGCACGCUCCAAGAUAAGUAUUCCCUAUGAGCCUCCCGGAAGACGACCGGGUAGAUAGGCGGCAGGUGUACGCAUGGUAACAUGUUUAGCCGAGCCGUACUAAUCAGGCCAUUGGCUUUGUUUA